UACGGAGGGGGCAAGCGUUGUUCGGAAUUACUGGGCGUAAAGGGCGCGCAGGCGGCUGCUCAAGUCAGGCGUGAAAGGCCUGGGCUCAACCCGGGAAUUGCGCUUGAGACUGGGCUGGCUUGAGUGCGGGAGAGGAUGGUGGAAUUCCCAGUGUAGAGGUGAAAUUCGUAGAUAUUGGGAAGAACACCGGUGGCGAAGGCGGCCAUCUGGACCGCAACUGACGCUGAGACGCGAAAGCGUGGGGAGCAGACAGG
rnacentral:rRNA from 1 species